AGCUCCAAUAGCGUAUACUAAAGUUGUUGCAGUUAAAAAGCUCGUAGUUGAAUUUCUGGUCGUUGGCUCCGGUCCGUCCCGUGAGGGUUGAGUACCAGGAGUGAGCGGCCAUCCUCGGGGAGAACCUGUCUGAUAUUAAGUUAUUGGGCAGAGGAUCCUCGUCAUUUACUGUGAGCAAAAUAGAGUGUUCAAAGCAAGCUUAUGCUGUUGAAUAUAUUAGCAUGGAAUAAUAAGAUAGGACCUUGGUCUAUUUUGUUGGUUUGCUGUCCAAGGUAAUGAUUAAUAGGGAUAGUUGGGGGUAUUCGUAUUCAAUUGUCAGAGGUGAAAUUCUUGGAUUUAUGGAAGACGAACUACUGCGAAAGCAUUUACCAAGGAUGUUUUCAUUAAUCAAGAACGAAAG
rnacentral:rRNA from 1 species